AGCUGAGUUGAUCGGCUCAGGAUGAACGCUGGCGGCGUGCUUAACACAUGCAAGUCGAACGAGGUCCAUGGAGCUUGCUCCGGACGAUCUAGUGGCGAACGGGUGCGUAACACGUGAGAAACCUGCCCCGAUCUCUGGGAUAACAGUUGGAAACGACUGCUAAUACCGGAUGCCGUCACACCGCUUCAUGGCGGAGUGCCGAAAGAUUCAUCGGAUCGGGAGGGUCUCGCGGCCUAUCAGCUAGUUGGAGAGGUAACGGCUCACCAAGGCAUCGACGGGUAGCUGGUCUGAGAGGAUGAUCAGCCAC
rnacentral:rRNA from 1 species